rnacentral:misc_RNA from 1 species
AAAAAAAAAAAAAAAGCCCUCACCACCAAGCAAUUAAGCACAACAACUCACAGAAACAAAAUCAUCCAAAAUGACAACAAGAUGUUCCUUCUUUUUGUCCCCUGCUACUCAAUUAGCUGAGACGGAGAACGAUUCCAUAUUUGAUGAUUUUCUUUUAGACAAUCUUCACAAAUCAGAAAUUAAUCUUAAAAUUAUUUUACCCAAAAAAAAAACAGAGAUGGAAAUCAAUCAUAUAACCGGCAAAACAAGAAACAAGAAAUCGGCUAAAGAAUCAAUCAAAUAGAAUAUAAACAAAGCAAAUUUAUAACAA